AGGUGGAGGCUGUGAAACCGGGACGCUAGUUUCGGUGGAGCCAACCUUGAAUACACCUGAUUUAUUUGAGGUUCUAACCUUGAUCCGUGAAUCCGGAUCGGGGACCGUGCAUGGUGGGCAGUUUGACUGGGGCGGUCUCCUCCCAAAAGGUAACGGAGGAGUACGAAGGUACGCUUAGGGCGGUCGGACAUCGCCCAUAAAGUGCAAUGGCAAAAGCGUGCUUGACUGCGAGACCCACAAGUCGAGCAGGUGCGAAAGCAGGUCAUAGUGAUCCGGUGGUUCUGUAUGGAAGGGCCAUCGCUCAACGGAUAAAAGGUACUCUGGGGAUAACAGGCUGAUACCGCCCAAGAGUUCAUAUCGACGGCGGUGUUUGGCACCUCGAUGUCGGCUCAUCUCAUCCUGGGGCUGUAGCCGGUCCCAAGGGUAUGGCUGUUCGCCAUUUAAAGAGGUACGUGAGCUGGGUUUAAAACGUCGUGAGACAGUUUGGUCCCUAUCUGCCGUGGGCGCUGGAAAUUUGAAGGGGGC
rnacentral:rRNA from 1 species